CCGGGUUGCGGACAGUGUCUGGUGGGUAGUUUGACUGGGGCGGUCUCCUCCUAAAGAGUAACGGAGGAGCACGAAGGUUGGCUAAUCCUGGUCGGACAUCAGGAGGUUAGUGCAAUGGCAUAAGCCAGCUUGACUGCGAGCGUGACGGCGCGAGCAGGUGCGAAAGCAGGUCAUAGUGAUCCGGUGGUUCUGAAUGGAAGGGCCAUCGCUCAACGGAUAAAAGGUACUCCGGGGAUAACAGGCUGAUACCGCCCAAGAGUUCAUAUCGACGGCGGUGUUUGGCACCUCGAUGUCGGCUCAUCACAUCCUGGGGCUGAAGUAGGUCCCAAGGGUAUGGCUGUUCGCCAUUUAAAGUGGUACGCGAGCUGGGUUUAGAACGUCGUGAGACAGUUCGGUCCCUAUCUGCCGUGGGCGCUGGAGAACUGAGGGGGGCUGCUCCUAGUACGAGAGGACCGGAGUGGACGCAUCACUGGUGUUCGGGUUGUCAUGCCAAUGGCACUGCCCGGUAGCUAAAUGCGGAAGAGAUAAGUGCUGAAAGCAUCUAAGCACGAAACUUGCCCCGAGAUGAGUUCUCCCUGAGACUUAGAGUCUCCUGAAGGAACGUUGAAGACGACGACGUUGAUAGGCCGGGUGUGUAAGCGCAGCGAUGCGUUGAGCUAACCGGUACUAAUGAACCGUGAGGCUUAACCUUACAACGCCG
rnacentral:rRNA from 1 species